UACCAGACUCCUACGGGAGGCAGCAGUGGGGAAUAUUGCACAAUGGGGGAAACCCUGAUGCAGCGACGCCGCGUGAGUGAAGAAGUAUUUCGGUAUGUAAAGCUCUAUCAGCAGGGAAGAAGUUGACGGUACCUGAGUAAGAAGCCCCGGCUAACUACGUGCCAGCAGCCGCGGUAAUACGUAGGGGGCAAGCGUUAUCCGGAUUUACUGGGUGUAAAGGGAGCGUAGACGGCAAUGCAAGUCCGAUGUGAAAACCCAGGGCUCAACCGUGGGAGCGCAUUGGAAACUGAAUGGCUGGAGUGCAGGAGAGGUAAGCGGAAUUCCUGGUGUAGCGGUGAAAUGCGUAGAUAUCAGGAGGAACACCAGUGGCGAAGGCGGCUUACUGGACUGUAACUGACGUUGAGGCUCGAAAGCGUGGGGAGCAAACAGGAUUAGAUACCCGAGUA
rnacentral:rRNA from 1 species